GGACGACCGCUGGCGGCGUGCUUAACCCAUGCAAGUCGAACGGAAAGGCCCUGCUUUUGUGGGGUGCUCGAGUGGCGAACGGGUGAGUAACACGUGAGUAACCUGCCCUUGACUUUGGGAUAACUUCAGGAAACUGGGGCUAAUACCGGAUAGGAGCUCCUGCUGCAUGGUGGGGGUUGGAAAGUUUCGGCGGUUGGGGAUGGACUCGCGGCUUAUCAGCUUGUUGGUGGGGUAGUGGCUUACCAAGGCUUUGACGGGUAGCCGGCCUGAGAGGGUGACCGGCCACAUUGGGACUGAGAUACGGCCCAGACUCCUACGGGAGGCAGCAGUGGGGAAUAUUGCACAAUGGGCGGAAGCCUGAUGCAGCAACGCCGCGUGCGGGAUGACGGCCUUCGGGUUGUAAACCGCUUUCGCCUGUGACGAAGCGUGAGUGACGGUAAUGGGUAAAGAAGCACCGGCUAACUACGUG
rnacentral:rRNA from 1 species